CUGAGCGCUGCUGUGCGCAAGCAUAGCUCGUUCGUAAUGCAUUAGCAUUUCUAAUUCAAUUUUGGAUUGACUCAGUGUAAUAGACUAUUCGCUGAGGACAUGUCUCCGGACGUGGCCAGAAUGAUACAGGAAAGCUUCGAGCCCACCUAGUCAACUUAAGAUUAGACCUCAGAUCAGAUAGGAUUACCCGCUGAACUUAA
rnacentral:misc_RNA from 1 species